ACGAACGCUGGCGGCGUGCUUAACACAUGCAAGUCGAACGGAAAGGCCCUGCUUGCAGGGUACUCGAGUGGCGAACGGGUGAGUAACACGUGGGUGAUCUGCCCUGCACUUCGGGAUAAGCUUGGGAAACUGGGUCUAAUACCGGAUAGGAGCCAUCUUUAGUGUGGUGGUUGGAAAGUUUUUUCGGUGUAGGAUGAGCUCGCGGCCUAUCAGCUUGUUGGUGGGGUAAUGGCCUACCAAGGCGGCGACGGGUAGCCGGCCGGAGAGGGUGUACGGCCACAUUGGGACUGAGAUACGGCCCAGCCUCCUACGGGAGGCAGCGGUGGGGAAGAUUGCACAAUGGGCGCAAGCCUGAUGCAGCGACGCCGCGUGGGGAUGAAGGCCUUCGGGUUGUAAACUCCUUUCGCUAGGGACGAAGCUUUUUUGUGACGGUACCUAGAUAAGAAGCACCGGCUAACUACGUG
rnacentral:rRNA from 1 species